AUGAAAUUUUCUUAAAAGCAACCUAGCAAGUAGGUUUUAAGGAGAAAAUAACUAAAUUAAUCAGAAGAAAUUCUGAAUAUAACAUGGAGUGUGGAUUUAUUUUGUGUUUUAAGAAAAGGAGCUGGAUGCAAGAAGUUGCACCAAAAAAAAAAAAAAUGUUGACUGUGAUGUUAUUUCAAAAACCACACCGAAAGAGAUGGAGACUGUUAGGUUUAGGUCAAGUGAAUGAUGACAGAAACCUGGAGCUGGAAUUGUUUUUUGCACCUGGAACUGGAAUUGCUGGUCCAAUGAUGUAUUUGGAUCAAGACCACAUAUCCAGUUCAACCACCAGUUUAUGGAAAUGCUGGUGUGUGGGUAUCUCACUCCUGCAGGAAUCUGCCAAAUUCUGCCUUCUGCUGACUCAUUCCUUGUGUUUUGCUUUCCUACCAAGGAAAUGCAGCACUGCCAUUGUAAUGCUGCAUUUUGGCCAGCUCUGACAAGCAGCUUUGGGGAUCUGAAGGCAGAAGAGAGACUAUCCAAAAAACUGGAUCUUGAGCACAUUUAGUGUUAAAAAAAUUUCACUGUAGAACCCUGGUGUGACCUGUUUGUGUGUAACACUGUGAGAAGGACCACACUUUCCUAGGUAAGAUUCUUCCUUUAAAAUAUUUGAGGCUACUGAACUAAGACUCCCCCAAAGGCCAGCAUUUUGCUGAGUUGAACAUACACAGAGAGAUUGCAUAAGAAUCCCAGCACCCCUGAAAAGACCUUCACUACAGCAAACAACGUCACAAGCCAGAAGACCUUCAGCAUGAGGGUAAAAAUAUUACUUUGACAACUUUUAUCACAUA